GAUAAACGCUGGCGGCGUGCCUAAUACAUGCAAGUCGAGCGAACAGACGAGGAGCUUGCUCCUCUGAUGUUAGCGGCGGACGGGUGAGUAACACGUGGAUAACCUACCUAUAAGACUGGGAUAACUUCGGGAAACCGGAGCUAAUACCGGAUAACAUGUUGAACCGCAUGGUUCAACAGUGAAAGACGGUCUUGCUGUCACUUAUAGAUGGAUCCGCGCCGCAUUAGCUAGUUGGUAAGGUAACGGCUUACCAAGGCAACGAUGCGUAGCCGACCUGAGAGGGUGAUCGGCCACACUGGAACUGAGACACGGUCCAGACUCCUACGGGAGGCAGCAGUAGGGAAUCUUCCGCAUUGGGCGAAAGCCUGACGGAGCAACGCCGCGUGAGUGAAGAAGGUCUUCGGAUCGUAAAACUCUGUUAUUAGGGAAGAACAAAUGUGUAAGUAACUAUGCACGUCUUGACGGUACCUAAUCAGAAAGCCACGGCUAACUACGUG
rnacentral:rRNA from 1 species